AGGUAGCAUAAUAAUUAGUUACUUAAUUGGUAGCUAGAAUGAACGGUCUGACGAAAAAUUAAUUUUCUUAUUUUUAAAAUAAAAUUAAUAUGUGAAUAAAAAAGUUUACUACUAUUAGUUAGACAAUAAGACCCUAAAACCUUUAAUGAUAAGCAUAUCAGACUAUCUUUUUACUGGGGUGGUAAAUUAUAAUACAUAAUUAAAUAAAACAUUAUAAAUGAUUAUAUCUAGCUUAAAAACCAAUAAAAAAGGUACUUUAGGGAUAACAGCAUAAUUUUUAUUUAGAGUAACUUAUCGACAUAAAAGAUUAUGACCUCGAUGUUGAAUUGAUUAAACCUUACUAAGUAGUAAUAGUAAUAGU
rnacentral:rRNA from 1 species